GUCUCCGAACCUGAAACCGGGAGCUUCCUGCUCGUGUUCGCUGUUGAGAAGCUACCCGCGGGGUUGUAGACUUCGGACCUCAUGGCAGAGAUAAUUCAGGAACGCAUAGAAGAUCGGCUCCCGGAAUUGGAACAGCUGGAGCGCAUUGGACUGUUCAGUCAUGCGGAGAUUAAGGCUAUCAUUAAGAAGGCUUCCGAUCUAGAGUACAAAAUCCAGAGAAGAACCCUUUUCAAGGAAGACUUUAUCAAUUAUGUUCAAUAUGAAAUUAAUCUUUUGGAGCUGAUCCAGAGAAGAAGAACACGCAUUGGAUAUUCAUUUAAGAAGGAUGAGAUUGAGAAUUCUAUUGUACACCGGGUACAAGGUGUUUUCCAACGUGCCUCAGCAAAAUGGAAAGACGAUGUUCAACUUUGGCUCUCCUAUGUGGCUUUUUGUAAGAAGUGGGCUACUAAAACUCAACUUAGCAAGGUAUUCUCUGCCAUGUUGGCGAUUCAUUCCAACAAACCAGCUUUGUGGAUUAUGGCAGCCAAAUGGGAAAUGGAAGAUCGAUUGUCUUCAGAAAGCGCAAGGCAACUAUUUCUUCGGGCACUGCGCUUUCAUCCAGAGUGCCCAAAACUUUAUAAAGAAUACUUUAGGAUGGAGCUGAUGCAUGCUGAAAAACUGAGGAAGGAGAAGGAAGAAUUUGAAAAAGCCAGUAUGGAUGUGGAGAAUCCUGAUUAUUCUGAAGAAAUCCUUAAGGGCGAGUUGGCAUGGAUCAUCUACAAAAAUUCUGUAAGCAUAAUUAAAGGUGCAGAAUUUCACGUGUCACUGCUUUCAAUUGCACAGCUAUUUGACUUUGCCAAAGAUCUACAAAAAGAGAUUUAUGAUGACCUUCAGGCUCUACACACAGAUGAUCCUCUCACUUGGGAUUAUGUGGCAAGGCGAGAAUUAGAGAUUGAGUCACAGACAGAAGAGCAGCCUACAACGAAACAAGCCAAAGCAGUGGAGGUCGGCCGGAAGGAGGAGAGGUGCUGUGCUGUGUAUGAAGAGGCAGUGAAGACUCUGCCAACAGGUGAACUUCACCAAACCAUGGUGUGAUAUAGAAGGAAUAGUAUCCCUGAGUGUGAAACUUAAGCUCCUGUUCCCAUUGCCAAAAUCAAUAUUGGGGAUGUCUCUGUAACAUAGUUUACGAUGAGCCUGGCUUUUUUUUUUUUUUUUUAUUGGGAGGCAGAGUCUUGUUCUGUCACCCUGGCUGGAGUUCAGUGGCUCGAUUUCGGCUCACUGCAACCUCCACCUCCCGGGUUCAAGCAAUUCUCCUGCCUCAGCCUCCCAAAUAGCUGGGACUACGGGUGCCCGCCACCAUGCCCAGCUAAUUUUUUUGUAUUUUAGUAGAGACGGGGUUUCACUGUGUUGCCCAGACUGGUCUUGAACUCCUGAGCUCAGGCGAUCUACUUGCCUUGGUCU
rnacentral:sRNA from 1 species